rnacentral:rRNA from 1 species
AACGAACGCUGGCGGCGUGCCUAACACAUGCAAGUCGAACGAGAAAGGGGCUUCGGCUCCGAGUAAAGUGGCGCACGGGUGAGUAACACGUGGGUAACCUGCCUCUAAGAUUGGGAUAACUCGUCGAAAGAUGAGCUAAUACCGAAUAAGACCACAGUUCCUGCGGGAACAGGGGUUAAAGGUAGCCUCUGCUUGCAAGCUAUCACUUAGAGAUGGGCCUGCGCACCAUUAGCUAGUUGGUAGGGUAACGGCCUACCAAGGCAAAGAUGGUUAGCUGGUCUGAGAGGAGGAUCAGCCACACUGGAACUGAGACACGGUCCAGACUACUACGGGAGGCAGCAGUGGGGAAUAUUGCGCAAUGGGCGAAAGCUUGACGCAGCAACGCCGCGUGAGUGAUGAAGGCCGUCGGGUCGUAAAGCUCUGUCGGGAGGAACGAAUGCUCCUGAGGUUAACAGCCUCGGGAGGUGACGGUACCUUCAAAGGAAGCACCGGCUAACUCUGUGCCAGCAGCCGCGGUAAGAC